CAGCCGCCGCGGGAAUACGUAGGGUGCAAGCGUUAAUCGGAAUUACUGGGCGUAAAGCGUGCGCAGGCGGUUUUGUAAGACAGAGGUGAAAUCCCCGGGCUCAACCUGGGAACUGCCUUUGUGACUGCAAGGCUAGAGUACGGCAGAGGGGGAUGGAAUUCCGCGUGUAGCAGUGAAAUGCGUAGAUAUGCGGAGGAACACCGAUGGCGAAGGCAAUCCCCUGGGCCUGUACUGACGCUCAUGCACGAAAGCGUGGGGAGCAAACAGGAUUAGAUACCCGAGUAGUCCCUGUCUCUUAUAC
rnacentral:rRNA from 1 species